CGAAGGACCCGAGCGUUAUCCGGAUUUAUUGGGUUUAAAGGGUGCGUAGGCGUCCUGGAAAGUUACGGUUGAAAUCUCCUUGCUCAACAAGGAAACUGGCCGUAAAACUAUCAGGAUUGAGUACAUUUGAAGCGGGCGGAAUGUGUCAUGUAGCGGUGAAAUGCUUAGAUAUGACACAGAACACCAAUUACGAAGGCAGCUCGCUAAACUGUAACUGACGCUGAGGCACGAAAGCGUGGGGAUCAAACAGGAUUAGAUACCCUGGUAGUCCACGCCCUAAACGAUGAUUACUCGAUGUGUGCGAUACACUGUACGCGUCUGAGCGAAAGCAUUAAGUAAUCCACCUGGGGAGUACGAUCGCAAGAUUG
rnacentral:rRNA from 1 species